GCUUGGUUAGCUCAGCUGGCAGAGCGUACGACUGUUAAUCGUAAUGUCACUGGUUCGAGCCCAGUACCGAGCG
rnacentral:tRNA from 1 species